UACGUAGGUGGCAAGCGUUAUCCGGAAUUAUUGGGCGUAAAGCGCGCGUAGGUGGUUUUUUAAGUCUGAUGUGAAAGCCCACGGCUCAACCGUGGAGGGUCAUUGGAAACUGGAAAACUUGAGUGCAGAAGAGGAAAGUGGAAUUCCAUGUGUAGCGGUGAAAUGCGCAGAGAUAUGGAGGAACACCAGUGGCGAAGGCGACUUUCUGGUCUGUAACUGACGCUGAUGUGCGAAAGCGUGGGGAUCAAACAGG
rnacentral:rRNA from 1 species